AACAAACGCUGGCGGCGUGCCUAACACAUGCAAGUCGUACGAGAAAGGGUCCUUCGGGACCUGAGUAAAGUGGCGCACGGGUGAGUAACGCGUGGAUAAUCUGCCCCUCAGUUGGGAACAACACACCGAAAGGUGUGCUAAUACCGAAUAAUGCUGCCCGACGAAAGUUGAGCAGCCAAAGGGUGCCUCUGCUUGCAUGCAUUCGCUGAGGGAUGAGUCCGCGUACCAUUAGCUAGUUGGUAGGGUAAUGGCCUACCAAGGCGACGAUGGUUAGCUGGUCUGAGAGGAUGAUCAGCCACACUGGAACUGAGAUACGGUCCAGACUCCUACGGGAGGCAG
rnacentral:rRNA from 1 species